ACUGGCUCAUUGUUGACGCUAAGGCACGAAAGCGUGGGGAGCGACCGGGAUUAGAUACCCCGUUAGUCCACGCCGUAAAACGAUGGAUGCUAGCUGUAUAGAGUAUCGACCCUCUGUGUAGCGAAGCUAACGCGUUAAGCAUCCCGCCUGUGGAGUACGAGCGCAAGCUUAAAACAUAAAGGAAUUGACGGGGACCCGCACAAGCGGUGGAGCGUGUUCUUUAAUUCGAGGAUAAGCGAAGAACCUUACCCAGGUUUGACAUCCUGUGAAAUUCUGCGAAAGCAGAACGUGCCUUCGGGAACGCAGUGACAGGUGUUGCAUGGCCGUCGUCAGCUCGUGUCGUGAGAUGUUUGGUUAAGUCCAUCAACGAGCGCAACCCUUGUAAAUAGUUGAAUUUUUCUAUUUAGACUGCCCUGGUAACAGGGAGGAAGGAGGGGAUGAUGUCAGGUCAGUAUUACCCUUACAUCUGGGGCUAGAAACACGCUACAAUGGCCGGUACAAAGGGCAGCCAAGUCGCGAGACGGAGCAAAUCCCAUCAAAGCCGGUCCCAGUUCGGAUAGCAGGCUGAAACUCGCCUGCUUGAAGUCGGAAUCGCUAGUAACGGUGAGUCAGCACAUCACCGUGGAUACGUUCCCGGGUCUUGUACACACCGCCCGUCAAACCAUAAAAGUCGCCAAUGCCUGACGUCUUAGCUAGUCUAGGCCUAAGG
rnacentral:rRNA from 1 species